UUUGAUUUGGUUGGCAUUGGUGAUCUACUGAAUAUCUUUUCUGCUUUUAUUAUGUCACACUUUAUCAUUGUUUGGUUCCAGUUAACCUAAUUUUUGCAAUUUUUCACAUUUUAUGGUUUCUAUCAGCAUGGGCAGUUUGAAUGCAAAUUUGGUGACAGGAGGCAAAGAUCCAAUAUCACAUUUAUUUAGAUAGGAAAGCUACAAUGAAUUCGUCCAAUGUCCUGAAUUUGUGAUGAUGGAUCUGGAAGAACAUCAGAGGUUCACCACUCCAACAAACUAGUCGAUUGGAGUCACCACUUAUUCCAAGAGUUCUAAACAACAACUAGACACUGACCCAGAGACCACGGUGCUCGCAUAUGUCCGAAUGGGCUUGAGGUACGACGUGCCGCCCCGAGUCCCACCGAGCCACCCCGCGCCGUGAGAACUGUUGGCUCGCAAUUCCAGAGACUUCUCAUCAAUCUGUGGCAGAUUCAAGGACGUCUGUGACUUGGCAAGUCACGCGUCAUGAGAACGAGGCUUAAAAGAGAUCAAAUGUCAACUUCCGGCUAGCUUAUUGCUGAUUGGAGCCUAUAUAAUUAUUAAACUGGCUUAUAUUCAACUUGUUAAUGAAUUGAUAAAAUUCAGCAAUUAAGGCCCAUAAAAUAUUCUAGAAUCUAGUUUCAAAAAUAAUAAAAUUAUUUAAAUAAUUAUUCUCCUUAGCAUAAAGCUAUUACUUCCCAAAAUAGUUUUUUACUUUACUUGUGGUCACAAACAAGAUCUCACUGCCUAUCAUCCAUUCAUGACAAAUCCCAAUCUGUAUUGACUUGUCUAUAACUAUCAGCGAUAUACAGCACUGAUUUAUACUCAAUAAUGUGAUUUUAUGAGCUCCGUUCUCAUCACCAGCCCCACUGUUGGAUGCACCAUGUUUAUGGUGCAUCCAUGGCCAUCCAUGUUAUGCGACAUGUUUAUGUAACAUUAUUUUCUCUAUAACGUGUGCCCUGCUUGGCCGCAGUCGGUAGAGCAAAGAUUUGGAUAAUGUAUGAUACUUUUUGUGAUUCCUGGGAGAAUAAUAGUAUCAAUUUCUUACCAGCUCUCCCAGGAACUCAAACAGUUCUCUGCUUUCGUUGGCUGCAAACGUCGGCCGCUUUAACAGUUCACAGUUCUUGUGACUGAUUUGGUGUACUCCGCAAAUAUAGAUGCAGUAGAGAUAGAUAGAUAUGAGGGCUCUGAUUAUUGUACUAGACAAUGCGGUACUGGAUCUUGUGCUAUAUAAAUUGGUGGCUGUUCCCGGUGACCUCUGGCAAGCAAGUGGGCUUAGAGCUACCCCUAUUCUUUGCACGACCAUACUUCCAUAUUUUCGAAUUUGCAUAUCAUUCAAAUAUUUACUCUGAUUGGAGCUGUUCCUAGCCUCACUACUACGCAGUAAAAUGAUUCAAUAUAGUUCAUGCCAAUCUGAUAGAUUAUCACAUAAAAAGAAAAUAUUAUAAUUUUGAUUAUUCAUUUUUUAUCUGUUACAUAAACUGGGUAUUGUAUAGUUUAAAACGUUUUU